AUUGAACGCUGGCGGCAAGCUUUACACAUGCAAGUCGAACGGUAACAGCACUUCGGUGGCUGACGAGUGGCGAACGGGUGAGUAAUACAUCGGAACGUGCCUAGUAGUGGGGGAUAACUACUCGAAAGAGUAGCUAAUACCGCAUGAGAUCUAAGGAUGAAAGCAGGGGACCUUCGGGCCUUGCGCUACUAGAGCGGCUGAUGGCAGAUUAGGUAGUUGGUGGGAUAAAAGCUUACCAAGCCGACGAUCUGUAGCUGGUCUGAGAGGACGACCAGCCACACUGGGACUGAGACACGGCCCAGACUCCUACGGGAGGCAGCAGUGGGGAAUUUUGGACAAUGGGCGCAAGCCUGAUCCAGCAAUGCCGCGUGCAGGAUGAAGGCCUUCGGGUUGUAAACUGCUUUUGUACGGAACGAAAAGCCCUCUUCUAAUACAGGAGGGUCAUGACGGUACCGUAAGAAUAAGCACCGGCUAACUACGUG
rnacentral:rRNA from 1 species